CUUGAGCAUGUCAGUCUCUUCCUAAGUCCCACUGAACCUAAAGGAUUAUUGCAACAAAAUUUGAGAGUUGAACAGCUCUGAGAUAAGUUCCAUAAAUUUUUAUGAAAAUUGGACAUUGAGUAAUGGAGAAGGAUGUGAUUAGCAUUUUCAGUUACAGAAAGGCAUACGGAGCUGGGGAUAUUGAGGUCAGGUAGAAGGAAUAGGGGAAGGUCUAGAAGAAGCCAGGAGGAAAAGAGUUGUCAGACAGGGAGAGGCAGGGAGGUGGAUCCUUACAUCAGCAGGGCAAGAGAAGGACUGUGUGUAUGCUGGAAACAAAUUCACAGGAAAGCAGGCUUCAUGAGUCCACUGGCUUAUGGAUCCUACCAGAACUCUGCAAAACCUAUUUGCUGAAAAGUACGCCAAGAGAAAUCACUCAUGAGAUUUUUAGCCUUGGCUUGCAAUUAGGAGAAUGGCAAUAGUGAAAAACAGCGAAGAAAUGUUUCCACAAAUGAACUUGAAAGUGCAGUAUGAGACCAUUUAUGAUCCUUCAUCCCUGAACUACGACACUUGAACUUGGGUCUGCAAAGGCUGUGGCUUGUCCUUGCUGCCCGAGGUGGCUCAGGCAACAUCUGCCAGUGGAGAAAUGGAAGAUACUACCUGCUUUUUCUCUCUGCCUUUCUCUUGCUGAAGCCCAGUGGCAUUUUAUGAAGAACAGGAGGGUUUCUUCACUCAAGGACAGAGUGGGAGAAAGUGACAAGCUGUGCUUUCAACAGAUGAAGGAAUUAGAAAUGCAUCUGAAGCUGAACUUCCACAGGCAACAGACAUGCUCGGGAUUCUUGGCUCUGACCUCUUUAUGCUUCCUUCAUCCCCAGGAGAAGGUGGAUGGGAAGGGAAGGCUGCCCUCUCUUUUCAGUGGGAACACAAAGUGCUGAAGCAUUCACAGUAACGCUAAAGAGAAGACAAGGAGAAGUCUCCGUUUUCCUUGUUAGAAGUUGGAAUUAAAUUAAUCUUGGACUACAGACUGAAUAGAGAAAAUUCUUGCAAAUAUAAUAGAUGUAAUUCAUGGUCAGAGCAGUGGUUUCUAUUAUCCCAUGUCUGUCUCCAGCAGUGGCAAUAGGAUGUAUAGUUUCAGGGUAACACAAAGCCCUUGGAUUCCACAACCACCGCUUUAAGGACGCAAGAGAGUAUAUCCCUUAGUAAAUAUUUUGGUCCAUUUGAUGGACCUGCUAUAUAAAAAAUUCUCUAAAUCCUGAAAUCUCUGUCUCUACAACCAUCUGUGGCAACAAGUGCCAGAAGUUUAUAACCGUUGUGUAACAAAAUACUUUUAAAAUCUGUUCUAAACUUCUGCUAUUAGUUUCAUCCUAUGCCUUUGCAGUUUUUAGCAUAAGAGUUUUCUGUUGACCUUAUCUACCACAUUCAUAAUUUUAUGGAGUGCUGAGCAAGGGAAAAUAACACAAAAUAAUUUUUUUAAGAAAUGCCCCAGGUUGCUCUUCAGAUAUAGAUCUCAAAUAUAAAUUAAUAGCUUGGGUGAAGAAUUAUGUCAUUUGGGUAAUAAGUGCAACUCAAUGUAAUGAACCUGUGUAUUAAGCUGUACGUUAAACUUUGGAGCUACUUUUUCAUCAAAAUAGAACUAUAGGCAGUGAUAACCUUGUACAGUGCAUCAUCUGCUCUGGUGUUAAAUAACCAAAAACACUGAGAAGCAGAACCUCAAUUGUUUUAAACUGUUGUAACUUCAUUGCUUUUGCUAGACUAAUGACAAUUUCCAAUGCAGGUUUGUUUGGAGGGAAAAAAGUGGAAAAAAGUUUAAGGCACAAAUCCCACCAUGGUCCUGUGAAUCUCAGUGUUUUCUCACAGACUCAGGAGUUUUCUAAUUUCUUUAAAUAUGAUUAGAGUAGAAUACGAUAAUAUUGCUUCACCCUCUUUAAAAUGAACAAUUUUUUAUUGUGUGUGACUGUAUAAAAGCGUUAAGUUCUCUGUAUUUCUCAUAAGAAAUUCCUAUAGAUGCAGAGUAUCUGUGGAUUUUGAUUUGCUUAUAGGCUCCUUAUUUCUUUGGAUGAUCCUAUGCUUUCACUGUUCUCCUCUCUGAUUUAACAACAGGCUUAUGUGUCUCUCCCUAGCAUUUGUCUCUGUUGUGCAGGACAGAUGGGAGUCAAGAGCUGGGGUAGAAAGUCUGAAUGCCAAAUUUAGGGCCUCUGUUUAUAUUUUGACCUGAGAUUUGUUAUUCCAUAUAAUGUACACUGGUAAUUGGCAUGGUGUUUAUUCUUCAUUUUUAAAUUCCAAGAAUCAACCAGUGCAGCCACACAUCUUACACCAUCUUAUUGCAUGAACAGGGGGAAGAGUCCCUUAGUAUUCUAAAUAAGAAAGCUGAUGGAUCUGUAUUAAUUUACAGAAGUUGAGAAUCUCUCUUUGAUGAUCAUAUUAUGGCAAAAAAGUCUUCCUAAAGAUACAAUCCAAUUAACUUUGGUAAAUUGCAGCAGGUAUUUACCUUAAUCUGCUGAAAGCAAGAUUACACUACAGCAAAGCACCUCUACCCUGUAGAACUCUACUUUUCUAGAAAACAGCCCAAGAGUUAUAAAAAUUUGUUCAGGGUAAAAUCAUCAACAUUUUGCUGUCCAAAAUACUCUGGUAAUUCAUGUCUACUUUUGCAGAAAAGACAGUAUUAAAAAAAUGGUAAUGAAAUGUUAGCCUUUAAAAACAGUGAAAUAAUUUGCAUGAAUGUGUAAAAUAAAUAACUUCAAGGAAAGCAGAAGAGUUGCAGGAGAUAUGCACUACAAUGAACAUACAACAACAACCUCCCAAAUUUUAUUACAUGCACAAAUUAAAUGACAAAACACGUUACAAUAGUUGCUACCUGCAUCAUUUGAAGGACAUACUUUCCUAUUGCUAGAAGCUCUAGGAAGUAUUUUAUGGAACACUGUCCCCAUUUAAAACAGUGUAGGGCAGACUGAAAAAUAUCCUGUCCAGGAGGAAAAUGAGGAGAUGGAAUUAUCAGAAGUAAUAUUUGACUGAGAAUUGGGCUCAAUGUUUCAAUUUUAACUAAUAGCUCUGUAAAAUCUGUGGUGGUCUCACUCUUUUAGGGCUAGACAUUUUCAAUUAAAGGGAAGAAAAAUCUUGAAAAUUUCUUUAAUUGCCUUUUGUGAAAAAAACCUGGCAUCAUUCAUGAAUAUAAUUUGCCAAAUGUAGACAGAAAAUUUGGUUUGUGUGUAAAUUGAGAUGUGUGUUCAGUAACCCUACUGCAUUGGUUCUUCCCUUAAGAGGAGCUCAUUAUCUUCUCAGAUUGUGACACUAAUGGUUUAAUGCCUCACAGUUUCUUGGAAGUUUCCUAUGUAUGUGAUGAGCCUAGUUUGUCUCUAUUUGGGAUGCAAAAUCUGAUAGGAUCACAGCACACAGAAGAAUUUACUUCUCUUAAGAAUACAUACUGGUUACCUUCUUCACCUGUCAGGGUGUUGCAAAGGGGCAGUCUGCCAACAUUUGACAUAUUCCAGAUGGAUAUAGAGAACGGCAGUGCGGGUCAGUGGUGCCUUGUUCUGUGGUUAGACCUCAACACAGGAGGAUAGGAAACAAUGGGGAAAGAAGUAGAAUAUUUCAGGCAAAGAGUCCUAGUUUCGGAAAGGGCCACAGGGUUUUUUGUACAUUUACAAGCACUUUCUCACAUUACGAGCUCACAGGUUUCUACUGAAGCCCUUGUCAGUCAAUCUCUCUGUGUACUUCUCCCUGGUGUUCUGUUAAAUCCAAAUAAAACCUAUUUGCCUCUGCUUUCUCUCUUGUUGAUGUACAUAAAGUUAUCGGCUUCUUGCAGGUGUCUGCUUCUUGCAUUUGUAAUGACAGUUUAACAAAAAAAUCAACCAAACCUAAGGCCACAGAAAAGCUUUCACAAGAGAGGUCAAAAGGGUUUCCUCUUCUGCUAAAGGUCUGCUACAUUAUUAGCAGUGCCGUGCCAGAGAUAUUUACCUGUUGGUCACUUUUCAAUUGAUUCAACAUGUGGCUACAUGGAGAUUGGAGUUUCGAGAUUAAAAUCACUUCAAGUUAAAAUCUUGGGAUAAUUCUGGGAAAAAAAAUGACUUCUUGUCCUGCUUUGGCUUCCUUGGGACUUUUCUCUCUGUUUAUAACUUUAGCCGCAAUUAAAAGAAAAUAACAAAUAGAGAAAAACAAUCCUGAACAAUUAGGGUUUUGACAUCUAAAAAGACCAAUGUUGGAUGAGGUCAUACCAUCACAGCCCAUAAAGCUAUCUCUUCCUCCCUUUGUGAUACAUAUGUUCCAGUCCAAGUUCCUCCUUAGUCUUUUUGUGGCUAAAGUGAACUAAACAUUGCAAGCAAAAUACGUGUCUGAUUUAUUGGUUGUCUGGGAUAACUAAUGCUACAAAGGCAAUAAUGCCUAAUUUCUAUUCAAAAGGAAAAACAAACCCCAAAAGCAUAGACCUCCCCAUAAGAGAAUUGAGGCACUGAUUCACAGUUUAUAAAGCCAGAGAGGAGCAGCCUGCUUGUCUAUCCUGAGCUCCAGGAUAACACAUGCCAGACAAUUUCUACCCUGAACUACUUCCGUUUGGAACGAAGGUACAUCUUUAAGAGGAAUGGUCAAUCUUAACUUUCACAUUGCCAAUGAUAGAGAACCUUGCAUAAUCACUAGAUCAAUUCUUUUGAUAAUUAGCUGUCCUGUGGUAAAAACAUAUGUGCCUUAUUUCUGGCCUGAAGUUGCCAUGUUUUCAUUUCCAGCCACUGAAUUCUGAGUUGCCUAUCUUCAAGAGAUUAAAAAAAGAGAAAAAGCUCUAAGUAGAACAUUCAUCUUUUCAACCUUUUCAAAUCUUCUUGAGUCUUUUGCUCUGGUGUAAGCUUUCCAGCCUCUUAAUUAACCUCUUGAUUCCUCAGUGAGAGUUUUCCUACAAGUCACUCUCCAGCUUGCACUAUAGACGCCAGAAAAUAGAGGAGUUAUGGCCACAUCAUCAUCAAAUAACAUGCUGGUAUUUGCUUUUCUUUUGUCUGUUCAACCAACAAAAUCAUUCUGGAGGUCCUCAGGGAAUUUGUAUUUGACUGCAUGUUCAUUGUGCUCCCCGAAACCCUCCAAAGCCAUUGACUAUAUGCAGUAUACAAUUGAGUUAUAUAUUCUGUAAGUACGGCUUGCGUUCUUUUUUCCAAACAAAUGCCUUUGCUUCCUAAUGUGUUGCUUGCAUCUGUUUUACCAGGCAAUCUGGUUUGCAUCACUGUUUUAUCUUUUUCCUUUUUUUUUUUUUCCACUUCAUAUUCUUUCUGUCAUAACCAGUCUUGCCUUUGUCAGUGGUAACUGCAUAUUGUUAUCCUGAUCAUUGAUGAUAAUAUUAGUUUAAUUCUGAAAACUGACCCAUGCAGAGCCCCACAGAAACCACACUUACUUAGUACAGCUUCCAGAUUUAUAGUAUUAUUUUCCCAUUUAUCAAAUGAUUUUUAAAACAUUUAACUUACACCACAUUAAUUUUUAUUUACUAGUUUCUGGGUGAAAAUACAUAGUGACACAAGUUAAAAGUCCAAACUGAAGGCUAUUAUAUGGACAUACACUAUAUGCACUACAUUUAGAACUUGAGCUCCCAAACAUCUCAAGCUACUCGGGCAAGAUCAGUUUUACAUAAAUCCACUUUGAAGAUACUAAUUGUUGACUGCAGAAGCUCUGCUUCAACCUCGACCAUUUUGCCUGCCAGCUUCAGACAGGCAUCUGAUUAUUUCAGUCAUCCAACUUUCCCUUUAUAAGCAGUGUUGUCGGAAAGCUUUUACACAGAUACGUACAUAUUCUAUGUUUUAAUGACUGCCAGAGUUUGCAGCCCUGUACUUGAAAUCCAAAAUUCUUCCUUUCAUCUUUGAGGCUCUUUACUGUGGUCACUUGGCCAAGGAGAGCUUUUUGCAUUAUUUCCAUCUUUUGUGCAGAGCAUAAAGCUUCAGCAAUCCAGAACAUCUGCACUGGUGUUUAACUAACAGCAUUUUCAGGGAGUACGGUGACCAGAUAUAAAACCAUUCCUCUGCUUGUAUCUCUGAAGUGCAUUUCGUGUCCAUGAAUAAAUGGGGAGCUAAAAUUGCAAAAGCAGAGGCUAGAAAAUAAUGGAAUGAGUAGAAAUAUGAGAAGACAGCAUCCCACACAGUGUUCAAGUGCAUUUUUAGCAGGUCUCCUUUUUUCAUGUACAAAGGCAAGGGAGAUAGAUAAUACUGAUGACUUUGUAAAUGAAUGACCUCUAUUUUGAUUAAGUGGUAUAACUUGUGUUUGUUCUACCAUUGGUAUGGGAUCACUAAACAUUGUCUGAGCUACAGGCACUGCUUUUGUGCCAUGUCUCUUACCUCCAACAAACAAGUUUUGUCCUUAGGAUAAAAAAAAGAAAGAAUAUCCAUUGCAGCCAAGAGUUUUAACAGAACUGGCGAGGGAGUUCUCUGAGAACUGACACAGCUUUUAAAUAGAUUUUGGAUUCUUAAGGAUGUUCUGCAAACUGGAGGGGAAAAAAAUAAAGAAGAAAAAAAAGGCCAAUCUCAUGCCAAUAAUUAUAUAUGACCAAGAAGAAACUUCAGGAAACUGUAAUCCCCUAGAAACUUGGCUUAGAAGGCCAGGUCUUGGGCAGGUGGAGAGGAAAGAUUGUAAGAGACACAUGUAGAGAGAGAUAAGAAGAUGUACAUUUCCCAGUGCUAUAGCUAACAUCUCCCUGUAGUAUUUCCUCCUCUCUUCUUUUUGACUGAAAUGUGUAAAAUAUCCUUAGCUAAUCAUUUCUGGAAGAAGUGGGAGACUCAGAGUUCAACAUAUGGAUAAACCCUUUGGUUCUAACAGUCUACUUUUCAUGUGCGUGUUUGAAGCUGCCAGACACAUGCUUCCUUCAUAUCGAAAGGAUUUUUUUCUGAACGCCAGUCUUCCUUUUCUUCCCUUGAGACUAGCUGUGGAGGGAAUACUUCGUUACAGAGUGUUGAGGCUUUUGUUGUCUCACGCUUUUUUAUUUACUCCAAUCUGCUGCGUAAAACAAUGUCUCUUAUUCAACUAGCCCUGGAUAAUAUUUACCAGAUAUCAAAUAUCAUAGUUAAUUUGAUGCGGGACUUUAAUCUUAAACCAAUAACUUUGACCUUGUUUUGGUGGAACUGUAACAGGCAUUAGUCAUGGUGCAGGAGUGGAUAUUUUUGGAAGCCACAAGAAAAACGUCAGUUUUCAAGUUACAAAAUGCAUGGCUUAUCUGAAAUGGUUUUUGUAUGCGUUUGUUCUAAAAAGAUUCUAUUUUUGUGCUUCAUAACCGAAGAACAUCUGAACUUUGACACUUGAAACUUCCCAGGUGUUUACUUCAUGCUGUUCUCACAUUGCAAAUAAACAAGUUAAAUUAUGGAAGCAUAAUCCAUUCAACACACUGCUGUGCACGUUUAAGAAGAAAAAAGAAGACUCUAGAUUCAAAGGGCUAGCGUGCACCUCCAUGUUACUGAUGACAAUUCGUUCCAAUGUUCAGACCUUGCUCAUGGGUAACAAAAAAGUCAUGAAUAUACAUCGUGAAAUCAGCAGCAUUCAGGAUUAUUAUUUUUUUUUUUCUGUUGCUACCAUUUGGUUGAUGUAGGCCCCACUACUGUUCUAAGCAGACUGUGACACUUCUUGGCACAGAAUUUCAGAUUGGUUAAUGGAAAGCUGGUAGCUAAUAGGUCUCACAGAUCUAAUUAUGAAUCAUAUUGCUGGUUUUGUUUUGUUCUGAAAUUUCUCUCUAGAGUGACUAAAUAGUGGAGAAAAUCAUUAAUGGCUCAAAUAAAAAAAAGGAUUUUGAUUACCUUAGUGUUUGCAUGACAACUUUCGAUAAAUAUUUCAACAGUCAGCAUAAUUAUUUGAAUACAGUGAUCUGCCUGUUUCAGGUUUUUUUUUCAUCCAUAAUAGCAGCAAAUAUACAAGCAUAGUAGGC
rnacentral:lncRNA from 1 species